GUGCUCGCUUUGGCAGCACAUGUACUAAAAUUGGAACAAUGUAGGGAAGAUUAGCAUGGCCCCAGCGCAAGGAUGACAUGCAUGUUCGUGAAGUGUUCCAUAUUAAA